rnacentral:snoRNA from 9 species
AUGACCUUACUUGAACAGGAUCUGUUCUAUAGGCUCGUACCGCUGCGCCACUCGAACUAUUCAGACCCCGGCCAACUCUCAGCAGUCGACCGUGGUCUCGGGGA